GACGAACGCUGGCGGCGUGCUUAACACAUGCAAGUCGAGCGGUAAGGCCCUUUCGGGGGUACACGAGCGGCGAACGGGUGAGUAACACGUGGGUGACCUGCCCUCAGCUCUGGGAGUAAGCCUGGGAAACCGGGUCUAAUACUGGAUAUGACUCCAUGACGCAUGUUGUGGGGUGGAAAAGCCUUGUGCGGCUGAGGAUGGGCCCGCGGCCUAUCAGCUUUGUUGGUGGGGUAGANGGCCCUACCAAGGCGACGACGGGUAGCCGGCCUGAGAGGGCGACCGGCCACACUGGGACU
rnacentral:rRNA from 1 species